rnacentral:tRNA from 1 species
GCGCGUGUAGCUCAGCUGGUAGAGCGCUCGACUGAUACUCGUGAGGUCCAUGGUUCGAACCCAUGCACGCGCACAA